rnacentral:tRNA from 1 species
UUAUUAUUAUACCUGUGGUUAGGAUUCGGCGCUCUCACCGCCACGACCCGGGUUCAAUUCCCGGUCAGGGAA